rnacentral:rRNA from 1 species
UACAGAGACCUCAAGCGUUAUCCGGAAUCAUUGGGCGUAAAGCGUGCCGAUAGGUGGUUUUAUUAGUCUUGGGUGAAAGCCAGAAGCUCAACUUCUGAGUUGCUUAGAUAACUGUAAGACUAGAGGGGCAAAGAGGUGCUUGGAACGAAUGGUGUAGUAGUGAAAUGCGUUGAUAUCAUCGGAACACCGAAGCGAAGGCAGAGCACUGGGUGCCACCUGACACUGCUAGGACGAAAGCGUGGGUAGCGAAUGGG